AGAGUUUGAUCCUGGCUCAGAAUAAACGCUGGCGGCGUGCCUAACACAUGCAAGUCGAGCGGGAAAGUCCUUCGGGAUGAGUACAGCGGCGGACGGGUGAGCAACGCGUGGGAAUCUGCCCUUCAGUGAAGAAUACCCCCGAGAAAUCGGGGCUAAUACUGCAUACGUCCCUUCGGGGAGAAAGAUGGCCUCUUUGCUGUCGCUGAUGGAUGAGCUUGCGUACUAUUAGCUUGUUGGUGAGGUAAAGGCUCACCAAGGCGAUGAUGGUUAACCGGCCUGAGAGGGUGUUCGGUCACAUUGGAACUGAGAUACGGUCCAGACUCCUACGGGAGGCAGCAGUGGGGAAUAUUGCGCAAUGGGCGAAAGCCUGACGCAGCGACGCCGCGUGGAGGAUGAAGGUCUUAGGAUUGUAAACUUCUGUUAAGUGGGAAAAAAGUAUCAUUCCUAAUACGAAUGAGAGAUGAUGGUACCACUAGAGAAAGCACCGGCUAAUCUCGUGCCAGCAGCCGCGGUAAUACGAGAGGUGCAAGCGUUAUUCGGAUUAAUUGGGUGUAAAGGGCGCGUAGACGGCGCGUUAAGUUUGUUGUUAAAUCCUCCGGCUCAACUGGAGAUCUGCAGCAAAAACUGGCGUGCUAGAGGGUGGAAGAGAGAAGUGGAAUUCUCGGAGUAGCGGUAAAAUGCGUAGAUCUCGAGAGGAACACCGAUGGCGAAGGCAGCUUCUUGGUCCAUUCCUGACGUUGAGGCGCGAAAGCGUGGGGAGCAAACAGGAUUAGAUACCCUGGUAGUCCACGCUGUAAACGAUAAUCACUAGACGUUGGGUUCUGUUUAACGGAGUCAGUGUCGAAGCUAACGCGUUAAGUGAUUCACCUGGGAAGUACGGUCGCAAGAUUAAAACUCAAAGGAAUUGACGGGGGU
rnacentral:rRNA from 1 species